rnacentral:Y_RNA from 1 species
GGUUGAUCUGAGUGCAGUGGUGUUUACAACUAAUUGAUCACAACCAGUUGCAGAUUCCUUUGUUCCUUCUCCACUCCUACUGUUCCACUUGACCAGCCUUAA